rnacentral:tRNA from 1 species
UGCGGGGUAGAGCAGGUGGUCAGCUUGCCGGGGUUGUAACCCGGAGGUCGCUUGGUUCGAUUCCAGGCCCCCGCAACCA